UAGGGAAUCUUCGGCAAUGGGGGGAACCCUGACCGAGCAACGCCGCGUGAGUGAAGAAGGUUUUCGGAUCGUAAAGCUCUGUUGUUAAGGAAGAACGAGUGUGAGAAUGGAAAGUUCAUACUGUGACGGUACUUAACCAGAAAGGGACGGCUAACUACGUGCCAGCAGCCGCGGUAAUACGUAGGUCCCGAGCGUUGUCCGGAUUUAUUGGGCGUAAAGCGAGCGCAGGCGGUUAGAAAAGUCUGAAGUGAAAGGCAGUGGCUCAACCAUUGUAGGCUUUGGAAACUGUUUAACUUGGGUGCAGAAGGGGAGAGUGGAAUUCCAUGUGUAGCGGUGAAAUGCGUAGAUAUAUGGAGGAACACCGGUGGCGAAAGCGGCUCUCUGGUCUGUAACUGACGCUGAGGCUCGAAAGCGUGGGGAGCGAACAGG
rnacentral:rRNA from 1 species